rnacentral:misc_RNA from 1 species
UCUCCGUAGGUGAACCUGCGGAGGGAUCAUUACAGAGUUCAUGCCCUAACGGGUAGAUCUCCCACCCUAUGUUAUCAUCACUUUGUUGCUUUGGCGGGCCGUCAGGCCUCGGCUUGGCUACCGGCUCUCGCUGGUAAGAGCCCGCCAGAGAACCCCAAACCCUGAAAAACAGUGUCGUCUGAGUACUAUAUAAUAGUUAAAACUUUCAACAACGGAUCUCUUGGUUCUG